GAUGAAGAACGCAGCGAUAUGCGAUAAGUAAUGUGAAUUACAGAAUUCAGUGAAUCAUCGAAUCUUUGAACGCACAUUGCGCCCGUCAGUAUUCUGGCGGGCAUGCCUGUUCGAGCGUCAUUACGCCCCUCAAGUCCCCUGUGGACUUGGUGUUGGGGAUCGGCGAGGCUGGUUUUCCAGCACAGCCGUCCCUUAAAUUAAUUGGCGGUCUCGCCGUGGCCCUCCUCUGCGCAGUAGUAAAACACUCGCAACAGGAGCCCGGCGCGGUCCACUGCCGUAAAACCCCCCAACUUUUUAUAGUUGACCUCGAAUCAGGUAGGACUACCCUCUGAACUUAAGCAUAUCAAUAAGCGGAGGA
rnacentral:misc_RNA from 1 species